AGUGAACGCUGGCGGUAGGCCUAACACAUGCAAGUCGAACGGCAGCACAGUAAGAGCUUGCUCUUACGGGUGGCGAGUGGCGGACGGGUGAGGAAUACAUCGGAAUCUACUUUUUCGUGGGGGAUAACGUAGGGAAACUUACGCUAAUACCGCAUACGACCUACGGGUGAAAGCAGGGGAUCUUCUGACCUUGCGCGAUUGAAUUAGCCGAUGUCGGAUUAGCUAGUUGGCGGGGUAAUGGCCCACCAAGGCGACGAUCCGUAGCUGGUCUGAGAGGAUGAUAAGCGACACUGGAACUGAGACACGGUCAAGACUCCUAAGGGAGGCAGCAGUGGGGAAUAUUGGACAAUGGGCGCAAGCAUGAUCCAGCCAGACCGAGUGGGUGAAGAAGGCCUUCGGGUUGUAAAGCCCUUUUGUUGGGAAAGAAAAGCAGCAGGUUAAUACCCCGCUGUUCUGACGGUACCCAAAGAAUAAGCACCGGCUAACUUCGUG
rnacentral:rRNA from 1 species